rnacentral:misc_RNA from 1 species
UCUCCGUAGGUGAACCUGCGGAGGGAUCAUUACAGAGUUCAUGCCCUACCGGGUCGAUCUCCCACCCUAUGUUAUUAUUACUUUGUUGCUUUGGCGGGCCGUUAGGCUCCGGCCCGACUACCGGCCCCGGCUGGUAAGCGCCCGCCAGAGGACCCAAAACCCUGAAUAUUAGUGUCGUCUGAGUACUAUAUAAUAGUUAAAGCUUUCAACAACGGAUCUCUUGGUUCUGGCAUCGAUGAAGAAACGCAGC